rnacentral:rRNA from 1 species
AACGAACGCUGGCGGCGUGCCUAACACAUGCAAGUCGAGCGCGAAAAGGGCAACCUGAGUAGAGCGGCGCACGGGUGCGUAACACGUGGGUAAUCUGCCUUAGAGUCGAGGAUAACCUUCCGAAAGGUUGGCUAAUACUCGGUAAGCUUACGGUGUCUUCGGACGCUGUGGGAAAAGUAGGCCUCUGUUUACAAGCUUACGCUCUGAGAUGAGCCCGCGGCCCAUCAGCUAGUUGGCGGUGUAACGGACCACCAAGGCAACGACGGGUAGCUGGUCUGAGAGGACGAUCAGCCACACUGGAACUAAGAGACGGUCCAGACUCCUACGGGAGGCGGCAGUGGGGAAUUUUCCACAAUGGGCGAAAGCCUGAUGGAGCAACGCCGCGUGUGUGAUGAAGGUUUUCGGAUCGUAAAGCACUUUCGACUGGGACGAAAAACCUUUGGCUAACAUCCAGGGGCCUGACGGUACCAGGAGAAGAAGCACCGGCUAACUCUGUGCCAGCCGCCGCCGUAAGAC